AGGGUUGAUAGGUUAAGAGCUGGUUGAUUGGACGUUACCCACAGAAGAAGCACCGGCUAACUCCGUGCCAGCAGCCGCGGUAAUACGGAGGGUGCGAGCGUUAAUCGGAAUUACUGGGCGUAAAGGGUGCGUAGGUGGUUAAUUAAGUUAUCUGUGAAAUCCCUGGGCUCAACCUGGGCAGGUCAGAUAAUACUGUUUAACUCGAGUAUGGGAGAGGGUAGUGGAAUUUCCGGUGUAGCGGUGAAAUGCGUAGAGAUCGGAAGGAACACCAGUGGCGAAGGCGGCUACCUGGCCUAAUACUGACACUGAGGCACGAAAGCGUGGGGAGCAAACAGGAUUAGAUACCCUGGUAGUCCACGCUGUAAACGAUGUCAACUAGCUGUUGG
rnacentral:rRNA from 1 species